rnacentral:rRNA from 1 species
UAGGUUAAACGGCCGCGGUAUCCUGACCGUGCAAAGGUAGCAUAAUCACUUGUUCUCUAAUUAAGGACUAGAAUGAAAGGCUGAACGAGGGCCUAACUGUCUCUUAUUUCUAAUCAGUGAAAUUGACCUCCCCGUGAAGAGGCGGGGAUAAAACAAUAAGACGAGAAGACCCUAUGGAACUUAAAUUUCAAAACCCAACUUCAACAUACCAAAAACCCUAAAGGACUAACAAAAUGAAGAUCGGGUUUAAAUUUUGGUUGGGGUGACCUCGGAGCACAAAAAACCCUCCGAAUGAUUAUAACCAAGACACACAAGUCUAAGUACAUGAAAUCUUAUUGACCCAAAACUUGAUCAACGGACCAAGUUACCCUAGGGAUAACAGCGCAAUCCUAAUUUAGAGUCCAUAUCGACAUUAGGGUUUACGACCUCGAUGUUGGAUCAGGACAUCCCAG